GCCUACGGGGGGCAGCAGUGAGGAAUAUUGGUCAAUGGGCGCAAGCCUGAACCAGCCAAGUCGCGUGAGGGAUGACGGUCCUAUGGAUUGUAAACCUCUUUUGUCGGGGAGCGAGGCCCGCCACGUGUGGCGGGAAGGAGAGUACCCGAAGAAAAAGCAUCGGCUAACUCCGUGCCAGCAGCCGCGGUAAUACGGAGGAUGCGAGCGUUAUCCGGAUUUAUUGGGGUUAAAGGGUGCGUAGGCGGAAGGUUAAGUCAGCGGUCAAAUGUCGGUGCUCAACACUGGCCUGCCGUUGACACUGGUCU
rnacentral:rRNA from 1 species